GAUGAAGAACGCAGCGAAAUGCGAUAAGUAAUGUGAAUUGCAGAAUUCAGUGAAUCAUCGAAUCUUUGAACGCACCUUGCGCUCCUUGGUAUUCCGAGGAGCAUGCCUGUUUGAGUGUCAUGAAAUUCUCAACCUUUUCAGCUUUCUUUGUUGAUCAGGCUUGGAUGUGGGAGUAUGCGGGCUUCUCAGAAGUCGGCUCUCCUGAAAUGCAUUAGCGGGACCUUUGUUGCCUGGCUUUGGUGUGAUAAUUAUCUACGCCAUUGUAGUCAAGCAGCUUAAAAUGGGGUUUCAGCUUCUAACCGUCUCCCCUGAGACAACUUUUUGACAAUUUGACCUCAAAUCAGGUAGGACUACCCGCUGAACUUAAGCAUAUCAAUAAGCGGAGGA
rnacentral:misc_RNA from 1 species